GUUUUAAUCUGUUUCUAUAUAUUUUAAUCUAAUUUUUUAAUGUAUUUUACCUUUUUACCUUUUAACUAUAACUUUACACGAAGGUCAGAAAUAUUUCUAAACACAGACUGGAUCUGUGCUAAAGGAGGUCUGAAGCUGCUCUGAAGGCACUGAGGACAAAGUCCAUGCAGCUCGUGACCUUUGAACCCUCACAACUGUUUAAAGCUUCCCGCCUCUUUUUACAGCCCAUUGUCAUGGAAACUAGUAUGUACUACAGUGGCAAAGUUCAGCUCUGCACAGCAGGCAACAUGUGAAACAUCAACUCAGCCCCAGCAAUAAUUUGAUCAAACAAUUAAAUAUAUGUGAAUGUAAACACUGCUGUUGUGAUUUGACUAUCACUCUAUACAGACUAAUACAAUCAUUUCUCAAAUAUUUACUACAGUGAACAUGCACUUGAGUGAUAUGAGACUCUGGAUGCUUUCAGCUGAUUUCUGUUGAACUGUCAGCAACUGAACUGCAGCUCAAACUAUUUCAAAUAUAGUGAAUUAAGUUACAAACUCCAUAAUAAUGCACAGUGUUUCCAUCUGACAUGUAUUUUGAGCUGCAGCUCGUCGUAUUAAUGGAGUGUUUCACUAGUUAGCAGUAAACCGGUUACCUCACCUGAAUAUGUUCGAAGUAUGUAAUCUUUGGAGUGGAAAUAUGGAUAUUUUAUUUAUCAUACUUGUUUCGCUUAAUUCAGUUAAUGUCUUAAAACUAGUGAGCUAAGCCAGUAGUAGUGCUAACAGUGUCAUGUAAACAUGACUGAAGACGUGAAGAGACGAACAGACAAACCGAUUCAAUGAGUGAGUCAUUUACGCGUCAAACCGAUUCAAUGAGUGAGUCAUUUACGCGUCAAACCGAUUCAAUGAGUGAGUCAUUUACGCGUCAAACAGAUUCAAUGAAUGAGUCAUUUACGCGUCAAACCGAUUCAAUGACUGAGUCAUUUACGCCUCAAACCGAUUCAAUGAGUGAGUCAUUUACGCGUCAAACCAAUUCAAUGAAUGAGUCAUUUACGCCUCAAACCGAUUCAAUGACUGAGCCAUUCAUUUUCGAAUCAUUGGAUUUAGAUUGGAACUUCACAUAUCGCGAAUCAUUUGAUUCACAUCGGGACUUCAGGAUGUGUCCUACAAUCUGUACCCGACCCGAAUCGACACGAACCGAACGUGCAUAAAUUGUUUUAUAAAGCGGAUAGUUCAGUCCUUGAUUCUGAUUGACAUGCACUUCUUUGUUUACUUCUGUGUUUUGCUCGGCAACCCCUCUGUCACAACCACAACCGUUUCUGAGGAACUACAUUGUUUAGCGGAAGAAUAAUGUUUUUAUUAAUAUCAUUACAUUUUAUUUGCUUUGUUUAAUUUUGUGCAGUCUUGCUCGUAUAUGGAAUAACCGGUCCGUGUCGUGCCUAACAACGACCCUUAGCUGUUAUAAAUUCACUGUAAAUAAUUACAAAUUAAUAAUAAAUAAAUAAAAAUGAUACGAAUUUAACUAAAUAAAUAUAGCUUCAAAACAUACAAGCAAAUAUAAAGUAACAAAGGGGAAAAAGACAAUUACAAGUGAUAAACAAAAAGUACUUUCAGUGUAUGAGAGUGCUUUGGUGUCCAAAAUUUUACAGACAAACAUAGCUAUGGGUUUUUUUUUUUUAAUUCUUGUUCAGUAUCCAUUAAAAACUAAAUAAUAUCGGCCAGUUGUGGUCCAACUUAGCUAUCAGUAUCAGUAAAAUCCAGUAUCGGUUCAUCUCUAUUUAUUUAUUUAUUCACUCAUUUAUUUAUUUACUCAAUUUUCUUUAAACUAUUUUUACUUAAUUAUUCACUCAGCUAUUUACUUAUUCUAAUAUAGGCCUAUGUUUAUUUAUUGAAACUUUUUUCAAUAAUAUUAAUCUGUUUAUUUGUUUAUUUACUUAUUGAUUUACUUAUUUAAUCUAUAUUUAUUAAAAUAUUUUUUUUAAUUUAAAUUUAAUUGUAUUAUUUAUUUAUGAGAUUUUUUAUUUUUUUAUUUUUUUACAUUUUUCUCUAAACAUUUCCACAGAGCCUUUCAGCAUUUAAGUUUUCGUUCAGUGUCCAAUUUAAAAACUAUCUGUUAAUUAAUCGUAUCGGCCAGUUGUGGUCCAACCUAGCUAUCAGUUUCGGUAAAAUCCAAUAUCGGCUGACCUCUAUCUAUUUAUUUGUUUAGUUAUUCACAUAUUUCUUUACUUAUUUAUUUAUUUACUUAAUUAUAUUAAUCUAUUUAUUUGUUUAUUUAUUUAUUGAUUUACUUAUUUAAUCUAUAUUUAUUUUAAUAAUUUUUUGUAUUAUUUAAAUUUUAUUUUAUUUUCCUUUAUUUUAUUUUUUUUACAUUUUUCUUUAAACAUUUCCACAGACCCCUCCAGCACGCGCUGAAAACCUCUGCCGUAAUGAUGUAAGAUCAUCAUACAGUGUGUGUGUGUGUGUGUGUGUCUGUAGUGGGGGAGGGGAAGUAUCACAGUAUCACAGACGACACAGACACAAGUCUGUCAGAUUUUCUGUCUUCAGGACACUUUUCUCACCCAGCUCUCGCAGAUGAACACACACACCAGACAGACAGACAGACAGACGGAUGUGUCUGACUGACGGCAGACGCCCUUCCCUCCUCGCCGGAGGUCACAUGACCCUGUGGGGAGGCAGACUGAACCUGUUCUUUGUUAGGAGGUCAGUGCGCUCCUGCCGUAUGCCUGCUAAAGGACGCGCACCGCUAAACAAUCAACAGUUCAGCCUGGCGUUUACAUCAUCAUCAGAUGGAAGCUUAAUUCUGCCUGCACUGAAUAAAACUAAAAAAUAAGGUUACUUUUUAUCUCAAAGUUCCGAGUUUAUAGAGAUGUAUACUCAGAAUUCUGAAAAAAGACUAAAUUGCGAGAUUCAAACUCUGAAUUCCUAAGUUGUGACGUGUAGAAAAAUGUGGGAUCCAUUUCUUGUCCUAAUUGAGAGUGUAUCAUAAAAUGAGAGAUGCUAUGUUGACUCUGGCCUGUAAGCUCUGGGUUCUCUUUAACACAGUUGUUACGUUUUUGUAUUUAAAAAAAAAACAAAAAACUUUUUUUUUAUUUUUUGUAGUUGUUUUAAAUUUUAUAAUUGCUUUUGUUUAUUGUUAUUAUUAAUAUAUAUUUAUUCAAUUAUUUUGGGGGGAGGUGGAUAAGCAGCAAGAAUAGAUAAAACAUUAAUGUAAAACCUUAUUGAUUUUGAUUGAUGAUAUUCAUGUUCAAAAAAAAAGAAAAUAAUAAUAAUUGUUAGAUGUAAACUCAGAAUUCCAAGAAAAAAAGGCAGAAUUGCAAGAUGUUAACUCUGAAUUCUCCAAUAAAUAAAUAAAUAAAAUAAAAAUGGUCAGAUGUAAACUUAAUGACGAAACAAAAAGUCUGCAACUUUAACCUGCAAUUGUGAAAUAUUAACUUGUAACUCUGAGACAAAAAGUCUGAAUUGUGAGAUGUAAAGUCACAGUUACCUGGCUUCUUUAUAUUUUUAUUCCGUGGCAGAAACAAGCAUCUGUCUCGCUCCAAAAAGGACAAAUGCACUAAAACACUAGUCUGCUUCAGUCAUAUAGUGCUCUUCAAACUCACUGGAGCUCUGAAAACUCACGUGCAUUUAUGUUUAAAUUCAGAAGAUAGAGCACAGAUGCUCCCUGCAGGUCUGAUGUGAGUGACAUCAAAUGCCACUGGGUUUUUUUUUUAAUGUCUCUCAAUCAAAUCUGAUGCAAGUCUGAAUAUGCAGAAUGAAGAUUAUUAGUGAGUAAUGAUGUAAAUUUCACAUAAAGCAUCAUCAUAAGGACUUCAGAAUACAAGUAUAGCAUUUAAAAAUGUGUGCCAUAUUAUGGAAUUUUUUUCUCUGUUUGGAUUUUUGCAGACUUAUAAAAUGAACAACCACAUAUGAAUCUGGAACAACAGCUUCCUCGAUGUAUUUCUGUGUGAACGGUCUCUUUAACAGUGAUUGGUGUUUGUCUGCGCACUGAAUCUGAGACAGAAAGCCAGACUUAUACACAGACUCAGAAGCAGAGAUCACAGGACAAGCGCUUGUGCUCCGUGAUGCAAGACAUUGCAAUAGAUAGAAAACAACAGCACAAACAACCAUGAGAUACAUAUUUAACAGCGCUUUAGAACUGAGACGAAUACUAGAUACAGGUCAAUCCAGCACAACUGCCUCUGCUUUUGUACGUUAAACAACAACACAUUAUAACACAUUAAUAUAUUUUAGGUU
ensembl:lncRNA